rnacentral:lncRNA from 1 species
AAAAAAAAAUACUAUUAAAGAAAAAAAAGGUUUUUUUUGCAUUUAGCCUUGUCAGAAAUUUUUUUCACAAAUAGCCCUACAAAAUUUAUAGUUACACUAUUGGCUCUAUCCUCGCCACACGAACGCUAUGUAAAUGUCGCUUGUGUUGUAGGUUAAGCUGAAUAUGGUGAAUCAUUCACCGUGUUUCGACAUGGUGAAUAGUUCAUUGUGUCCGUUUUACAUAUUGCUUAAAACCUUAGUAAGAAAAAUAAUGGAACACGAAGAAUCAUUCACCAUGUCUAGAGAUGGUAAACGAUUCACCUUGUUCCUUUGCAUAUACUUCCUCUCUCCGACCCUACUUCCCCACACAUUCUCUCUUUCUCCUUCUCUCUCUCUCUCUCUCUCUCUCUCUCUCUCUCUCUCUCUUGCUCUUUCUCUCUUUCUCUUUCUCUCCUUUCCUUUCUCUACCCCAACCCGAGUUCCCCACCGCCCCUAUCGGCAACUGCUGCCACCCCUGCACCUCUCUUAGCUGAUCUCUCAGCCCUCCGCCUUCUCUCUCUGCUCUUACCUUGAUUUCCUUGCCGUCGCCGUCGCCGCCGCCGCUUGCGAUUGCCACCAAUGCCACCUUCUUUCUCUCUCAACCCCCCUCCUCCCAGACCUCUCUUUCUCUGUUCUCUCUCAUAGAGCUCUCUUUUUCUCUCUACCUCCUUCCAGACCCCCCCUAUCUCUUUCUCACAGUCCAGACCCCCUCCAUCUCUUUCUCUCUACCUCCUUCCAGACCCCCCCAUCUCUUUCUCUUUGUCAUCACCCCACCUCUAGUGCCUUUCAUCGACAUAGAAGUCACCUUGCUCGCAAAAUGUAGUUCCAUAUCUCACCCUCCCCUUUAUUGUAAUCUAUUUUACAUUUUGUUAUUUCAUAGAAGUUCUUGCAUAUUUAUUUAAAGUUUUUAGAGAUUUUUUAUAGAAAGAGAUGACUCAUGUGUAUAUUUGGUGAUAUUGUUUACGUUAGAAUUCUAUGUCCGGUGAAUGUGUUCCUUUCUGUAUCUGUUGGGAUGAAAAUUUAGUCAUAAAUAAUAAUGUACCACAAUACAUUAGUGGCCAUAAAGAAUUAGUUGGCAUUCGACGCGAUAUGACAUUUCAGGAAU